AUGGAAAAUAUUUACAUUGUAUGUGAAGGGUUGUAGCUGGCCCUCUGGGGCAAUAUAUGUGCACACCUAGAUCAUCAUNUGUAUAUAACCAUUUAAUAAUUUUUAUCACCCUUGUGCACAUCCUUGUAGCUUAGCAUUAUAGCUAAGUUAUGAAUGCCUUUUAUUAUACACUUGGAAUUUUUGGGCAUUAUUAAAUGUGAUAAUAUAAUAUAACUUUCAGCAAUGGAUCUCUUGGCUCUCGCAUCGAUGAAGAACGCAGCGAAAUGUGAUAAGUAAUGUGAAUUGCAGAAUUCAGUGAAUCAUCGAAUCUUUGAACGCAUCUUGCACUCCUUGGUAUUCUGAGGAGUAUGUCUGUUUGAGUGUCAUAUAAUUCAUCAACUACUUUGUUUUUAUCAAAGUGAAGUUGGACUAUGAAGGAUUGCAGUCAAAGUUUUUGAAUGCUCCUUUAAAAUAUAUGAGGUAAAUAUCUUUAGGGUAUUUAAGAAAUAUCAUCAAUGAGAUAAGUUAAAACAUUGUUGAUAUAGCAUUACUUACACCCUAAGGUUUUAUCAGAAUCUAUUUUAUAUAAGUUAUUAUAAUUUGACCUCAAAUC
rnacentral:rRNA from 1 species